UACGUAGGUCCCGAGCGUUGUCCGGAUUUAUUGGGCGUAAAGCGAGCGCAGGUGGUUUAUUAAGUCUGGUGUAAAAGGCAGUGGCUCAACCAUUGUAUGCAUUGGAAACUGGGAGACCUGAGUGCAGGAGAGGAGAGUGGAAUUCCAUGUGUAGCGGUGAAAUGCGUAGAUAUAUGGAGGAACACCGGUGGCGAAAGUGGCUCUCUGGCCUGUAACUGACACUGAGGCUCGAAAGCGUGGGGAGCAAACAGG
rnacentral:rRNA from 1 species